UACGUAGGGGGCAAGCGUUGUCCGGAAUCACUGGGCGUAAAGGGCGCGUAGGCGGUACGGCAAGCGUGCGGUGAAAGCCCGGGGCUCAACCCCGGGUCGGCCGUGCGGACUGCCGGACUCGAGCAUCGUAGGGGCAGGCGGAAUUCCGGGUGUAGCGGUGGAAUGCGUAGAGAUCCGGAAGAACACCGGUGGCGAAGGCGGCCUGCUGGGCGAUAGCUGACGCUGAGGCGCGACAGCGUGGGGAGCAAACAGG
rnacentral:rRNA from 1 species